CUGUCCUGCCGGACAUCUCCCCCACAAGGGGGGAGAUCGGCAAGGAGUAAGACAAUCGCUCUAUAUCGAUUGUUUGGGGAGGCCGGUGCUCCGAUUCAAUCUCCCCCCUUGUGGGGGAGAUGUCCGGCAGGACAGA
rnacentral:miRNA from 1 species